rnacentral:lncRNA from 1 species
UUUUCUCUUUUCCCAUGAUUUACUUACCAUGUUGAAAGGCCAACUUACUUUGUCUAUGGUGAAUAUAUAUUACGAUUUUUCAGAAAACCGUGUUUUAAUUAGUAUGUUUUCUUUAGGCUUCCUAAGAGGCUACAAAAAAGAAGAACGCAUUUGCUAGUGAAGUUACAUCCCUUCGAAGCGAGCUGCAACCACUGAGGGACGAAUAGGAUUUGUUAAAUUUGAAGAGUAAUUCAACUGUUGUGUAACCGAUUACACCAGCGUCUCAUAUGCAUUCCAAUACAAGAAAAGUCUGAUUUUCGAACGUGUAAC